rnacentral:lncRNA from 1 species
GAACACAGUUAAUGCUCUGACAGAAAUUAUAGUUUAAUGGGUAGUUGAACAUUAAUGAAGUAACCACAGUAACAAAUGUGAAUUACUAGUGAAGAAAAGUUCCCUGAAAGAAAAGGAUCCGAGUUUGUUCACUGAUGGAGAGGGGCACUUAGAGCAAGAUACCCGACCUUGACUGGGGACCAAGCACGAAAUCCCUAAGAGGUGACAGGAAGAGAGAAGUCUGAAACGUUAAGUGAGUUAACCAGAUGGUGUCAGAAGUGGAAUCCAAAGAAGAGCUAACAACCCCCAGGAGCGCUGAGCGUGGUUCCCACUCGGCCCAUUGUGCCCAUUGCUCUCUUGGAGCAGCUGGGGAUCGUGGCUAGAGUACAAUGGCACAAUCACGGGUCACCGCAACCUCCACCCCCUGGGCUCAAGUGAUUCCCCUGCCUCAGCCUCCUGAGUAGCUGGGAUUACAGCAUACAAUAAAAAUUCUUCUUGAAUCUUUUAGAAUUUGAUCAGAGAAGCUGAACCACUACAAGCAAUGUUAAGAAUUUAUUGCUGGAAUACCCCUUACACAAUUGAGAGAGCCAGUUAAGCUAUGUGAGCCUGCUACCCCUAGAACUGGAGCUGGGCUUGAAGUCUGUAAGACUAGGAAGGAAUGAGGAGGGCAGGACCAAAGUGGAACCUGUGAAGGUAAACUUGGCAUCCAUAUCUGUUUCUCAGCUGAACUGGCAGUGGUAUCUCAGCACCUCCAAGCCUCCAACUUUGAUGAUGUUCUGCAAAAGAGCUUGAACAAAUUGCCAAAACAUCAGCCCCUGACAUGAGCAGCUUUCAGAAAAACUGAAGGAGGAGAUCCAGGGGCAGUUUGAGAAGCUGCCAACCAAGCUGCUGCACUAUGCAGAUCCACCACAAUGUCAUAAACUGUGUGAGCAGCAACAGUGCGUGACCCCACACAGGUCUGAGUGUAAUUCUGGCUGCUGGAUUCCAGUUAGACUUUAAAUUCCAUGCAAAUUUCACUUGUGGCAAAUCUUAACUUAGAACUGAACAUGGAAGAGAAUACUGAGAAACUUAGAUCCAACUAACCUGACAGUUUACAAAGCCACCACAGUCUAUCUUUUGUGAAGUCAUCGUCCAAUAUAUAUCCCUCUUUUAAUUAUACUAAACUCCCAAAUAAAUGCAAUGGCAAAAUCAUGAGUCUACCUAAUAGGAUUCAACCAUACUCUGUAUAACCAAAACUCACUCCCCUUUCCCAAAAGAGGAUUCAGAGUCUUUUUUGGCUGAUAUUUAUUCCUCUUCUUACUGAACCAUGCUUUCUCAAAUGCUUAGAUAUAAUGCUUGCUACUAUGAAAACAUGUUAGAUGGUAGAGGUACGGGAGGGAGAAUGAAAAAAAAUGACAUGUAUAAGAAAGAAAGAAAAUGAGUUACAUAUGUGUAUACACACAUGUAUGUAUUUAUAUUCAUAUCAAAAUAAGGAAGAAAUAUUAAUGAUUAUCAUUUCCUUUCUGCAACUUGAAAAAUUGUCAUAGCUGAUACUUAUAAUGACCAUUUUCCAAUAUACCUUUUAUAUCCCCUAUGACCUGGGUAAGCACCUUGAUGGGUGAUGCUUCCUUGCUUUGUAGGGUGACCUAAAUCUUUAUUUUUGAAGGUGUAGUCAUUAGAACUGCGGCCUCUAUUGAGUCAUUCUAGUUUCCACUGACUUUAACGACUGGACAUGGGAGUUCUAAGCAAUACCCUAUGAAAUUUCCUGAAUUCAGGAAUACUCUUCCUUAUCCCCAAUGUGUAGUAGUAACCCAAUUUUUCAUUGAUAUUCACUCAAUUUUUCAUUGAUAUUCGAGAUCAAUCUAGCAAAUACAAUAAAUCUCAUUUUUGCCUGUCGCUUUCUGUUUGAUUUAUUACUGUAUGUCCCAGAAGAUGCAUUUCUCCCUUUGUAAUCUAAGACCUCUAUACCAGCAGAAGCUAGUGUUACAGACAGAGGAAGCAACUACACAUCGGUGGGGUUAUAGGGAGAUUGGCCACUAUCAUUUCCAGUCCUUGAUUCUCAGAUUCAUAAGUCCUGAAUACGGGAGAAACAGUACCCAUAGUCACUCAUUCAGAGUAUAUACUGCAUCCUGAAGAAUAUACACCCCACCCACAAGGUGUGGCCAACCAACUGGCUCCAUAACUGAGUCUUCAAAAGACUAAUUUGCUCUUCCCACAGGCCAGAUACAUCAGGGUAAUAAGGAACAUGGUAAGACCAAUGAAUGUCAUAAACCUGAACCCACUGCAACAUUUUCUACAAAGUGAGUUGCUUUGUCAGAAGUGAUGCCAUGUGAGACAUUGCGAAGGAGAAUAAAGCAUGUUGUAAAUGCAAGGAUGGUGAUAUUGGAAGAAUUGUGAAAAAGCAAUUCCACAUACAGAAUUAGUGUCUAUUCCAGUGAAAAUAAAGUGCGCUCUUCACAUGAUGAAUGUGAUCUAAAAUAAUUGACAUGGUGGCUGGCAGAAGCUCAAUCACUAUUUAUAAUCUAGCCUUGAAAGUAGCAUUUAUCACCAGUGUAUUAGUUGAAACAGUCAAAAAGUCUCCCAAGUUUCAAAGGGAGGGGUCAUAUACUCCACUUAUUGAAGGGGAAGUAACUGGGUUCUGAAGAACAUGUGGAAUGUUGGAUGAAAAAAAGUUACACAACUCUUGGAAAAUGCAAUCUGCCAUUCUGCUACUUGAUGUUUUUACCUAGUAAUAUGUCUUGGAGAUUACUAUAGAGUCAUAUAAUGACAUAUCUUUCUCAUUAUUUUUACAGCUGGAUAUUAUUCUAUUGUGGGAUUAUAUCAUAGCUCAAUCAACCUGCUCUUUAAUGAAGGUCAUUUGAAUUAUUAUACAAAGCAAUUUUGCGUUACAAAAUUAUUUAUUAUACAAAUAAUGCUGUAAUAAGUAGACUUGUUCAUAAAUUGCUCCUUUUUAUUUUUAUUUUUUGUAUCUUCAGGGUAAAAAUAUGCAUUUUAAAUAUUCUAUUUUUGCUUUUGUGAUUCAGAUACAGUUUAAAUAAUGAAAUAUUACGUUCUUUCCUUGAGAUGAGCCCCUUUUCUUCACAGAUUCUUAGAUGAAUGCAUGUGAAAUGUAAAUUAACAUACAAUAAAAAUCAAACAUCUCAGAUAUAUUUCAAAAUUAUAAUACACAUUACACAAGAAAGAAGCAAUCAUUAAAUAGACAACUGUAUUAGAAUGUUCAUUCUGCAGUAUUGUGUGGUCUGUACCCUGAUGAGAACAAAUUAAUCCUUCUAGCCGCUCAAACAAAUGUACAAAAAAAAGAAAGUCUUGAAAAACACCAUUGAUUUGUGAGAUGCCAGCAUGAAAUUUUUAUGAUUACGUGGGAUGCUGCUGAAAACAGUGAUCCACACUUUUCAAAUCUAUUUAAAAACAGAAUUGAAUUUUGAUCCAACUGAGUCUCCGGGGAUCUCCUAUAACUCACAUUCUCACUUCCUAGGUGAAAAAUGAGGUUUUUCCUAUGAUUCAAGUAAAAAACUGAUUUAGUCUGUCUAAUCUAGGUUCACAUGGGCGAAUUCUGUUAAAAAUGUCAUAUUUAUAUAAGAUAAUUCAGCUAACUAAAACUUAGGAUUUUUCCUCGCUUUUUUUUUACACUCCUAGUCACUCCAAGGUGUUGUCAUAUAAAAAGUUUACAAUACUUUACAAGUAGAGACUUCUUAAGCUGAUAUGAAAAGAAGCUGAAUAUAAAAUUUUGGAGCUAUUAAAUAUUCAAACAUUACUAGGGAAAAAGAAAUGGGCGUUGAGAAAAGAUGGAGUUUUGGGGAAUAGGAGACUGGAGGAGUCCAAACUGUAAAGGAUCAGUGUGCAUGAAGGAAAGGCAUAUUCUUCUAGGUGCAAGAUAGGUAAGGCAGAGUAGUUACUAAACCUAAUGUUGUUCCUACCCAAAUUUGACUCUCCAUCACUCUUGUUGCAUCAGAAAUUUCUGCUAAAAGGUAAAUACAGAUGAAUUUAAAAUGGUGAGAGCAUUCUAUGUGGAUUUUACCUUCUCAGUCUCCCCUGUUUAGAAUUAUUUUCUCUUGCUCUCCCCUUCAUGGUCCCCAGGUUUUGUUCUUAGCUUUCUAAGUUUCUCCCUCUGUAUCAGUGUUUUGAAAGCUAUUUUGACUUCUACUUAUAGUAAGAAAUAUAUCUUAUAUUAUGAUCCAGAGCACACAGCUUUAUAACUAAAUGAAAUUUUAAAAAACAAUAUUUUCCCGUUACAUUCAAUAUACAUUAAUAUUUUAUCUUCUGUUCAACUCUAAGUAUCAUGUUGUAUGUCAUUGAAAAAAACAUGAAUACUGCCCUUUACCUUGUAAGUUAAUAUUCUGUCUCAUUUUGCACAAUGGUUUAAAGCCCCUAUUGUACGUGAGUAAUUUUCGAAUCUAAAAC